AGGUGAAAGGACUAUAGUUGCCCCUUAUCUGUGGGGAUACUUUCCAAGACCCCCAGUGGAUGCCUGAAACCUUGGAUGGUACCAAACCCUAUCUAUACUAUGUUUUUUCCUACACAUGCAUACCUAU